rnacentral:rRNA from 1 species
UACGUAGGGGGCAAGCGUUGUCCGGAAUCAUUGGGCGUAAAGCGCGCGUAGGUGGCCACAUAAGUCCGUUGUGAAAGUCAAAGGCUCAACCUUUGAAAGCCGAUGGAUACUGUGUGGCUAGAGUACGGAAGAGGCGAGUGGAAUUCCUGGUGUAGCGGUGGAAUGCGCAGAUAUCAGGAGGAACACCAAUGGCGAAGGCAGCUCGCUGGGACGUGACUGACGCUGAGACGCGAAAGCGUGGGGAGCAAACAGG